rnacentral:lncRNA from 1 species
UCUGCCCCUCCGCCCCUCCGCCUGUCCGCCUCUCUCCUUCUCCCUUGUUCCCUCUCUCCCUCCCUGCUCCCCCACCUCCCUCCCGAGUCGUAGACUCCCUUCCCCCCGGCGCUGGGAGUCUCCUUCCCGCCCCGCCGCGCAGGUGCGGCGACGGCCGCGUCACUGGAGAGUGUGUCGAGUCACAGGCGGUCUUCCGCGCGGAGCGUCCCCGGCGGACGCUGCGCAGAUGGCUGCGACUGUAGGAUUCUUGCCGGCUAGUCUUCGUCGGUUCCGCCUGCGUCAGGUUACUCGUGAAAACUCGAAUAAGUGCUAUCGAUGUGAAAUCCGAGGAAAAGAGCAUUUGGGGGAAAAGGUCUUACUAUGUUUCCCAGGCUGGACUCUAACUCCUGGGCUCAAGUGGUCCUCCCACCUCAGCCUCCUGAGUAGCUGGGACUGUAGAUGCAUGCCGCCAUGACCUGCCAAAAUCAUAUUUUUGAAGGUUAUUUCCUUCCAAUCCCAUCCCAAAUGGAGGUUGCAGCAGGGUAGAGUUUUUGGACAAUCUUGUUUACUGCUGCAUCCCCAGUGUCAAGAAGGCUGCCUGAACAUAGAAAGUCUUCAAUAUAUAUUUGCUGAAAUAAAAGUAAAAAUUCAGUCUGGUGUCUCCAUAAUCACAGCCAUGGCCUUGUAAACAGGUAGUGAUGCGGACAGAGCCAUCUGUGCUGCGCUGCAGACCCACACAGAGGUCUACUGGAAGGGAGGAGCCCGAGGCGAGUCCACUGAAUGUGGGCACUUCCCAUUUUGGAUGCUGCAGAGAGUCUCCAGCAGCAAGAAGGCAAUCACAAGAUGCAGCCUCACAGCCUUGGACUUACCAGCCUCCAAAA